UAACACUAACUGGAGGACCGAACCGACUAAUGUUGAAAAAUUAGCGGAUGACCUGUGGCUGGGGGUGAAAGGCCAAUCAAACCGGGAGAUAGCUGGUUCUCCCCGAAAGCUAUUUAGGUAGCGCCUCGUGAAUUCAUCUCCGGGGGUAGAGCACUGUUUCGGCUAGGGGGCCAUCCCGGCUUACCAACCCGAUGCAAACUGCGAAUACCGGAGAAUGUUAUCACGGGAGACACACGGCGGGUGCUAACGUCCGUCGUGAAGAGGGAAACAACCCAGACCGCCAGCUAAGGUCCCAAAGUCAUGGUUAAGUGGGAAACGAUGUGGGAAGGCCCAGACAGCCAGGAUGUUGGCUUAGAAGCAGCCAUCAUUUAAAGAAAGCGUAAUAGCUCACUGGUCGAGUCGGCCUGCGCGGAAGAUGUAACGGGGCUAAACCAUGCACCGAAGCUGCGGCAGCGAACGUAUCACCCAAGACAACUUUACGGAGUUGACGAUUGACGGAGCGAAGCGACGUCAAAGCGUUCAUUAAAGUCGAGUUGGCUUAGGGAUACGUUCGUUGGGUAGGGGAGCGUUCUGUAAGCCUGUGAAGGUGUGUCGUGAGGCAUGCUGGAGGUAUCAGAAGUGCGAAUGCUGACAUAAGUAACGAUAAAGCGGGUGAAAAGCCCGCUCGCCGGAAGACCAAGGGUUCCUGUCCAACGUUAAUCGGGGCAGGGUGAGUCGACCCCUAAGGCGAGGCCGAAAGGCGUAGUCGAUGGGAAACGGGUUAAUAUUCCCGUACUUGGUGUUACUGCGAAGGGGGGACGGAGAAGGCUAUGUUGGCCGGGCGACGGUUGUCCCGGUUUAAGCGUGUAGGUGUGUGUUCCAGGUAAAUCCGGUUCACUUUAACACUGAGGCGUGACGACGAGGCACUACGGUGCUGAAGCAACAAAUGCCCUGCUUCCAGGAAAAGCCUCUAAGCAUCAGGUAACACGAAAUCGUACCCCAAACCGACACAGGUGGUCAGGUAGAGAAUACCAAGGCGCUUGAGAGAACUCGGGUGAAGGAACUAGGCAAAAUGGUGCCGUAACUUCGGGAGAAGGCACGCUGACACGUAGGUGAAGUGAUUUACUCAUGGAGCUGAAGUCAGUCGAAGAUACCAGCUGGCUGCAACUGUUUAUUAAAAACACAGCACUGUGCAAACACGAAAGUGGACGUAUACGGUGUGACGCCUGCCCGGUGCCGGAA
rnacentral:rRNA from 2 species